AUUGAACGCUGGCGGCAUGCCUUACACAUGCAAGUCGAACGGCAGCGGACCUUCGGGUGCCGGCGAGUGGCGAACGGGUGAGUAAUAUAUCGGAACGUACCUUUCAGUGGGGGAUAACGUAGCGAAAGUUACGCUAAUACCGCAUAUUCUGUGAGCAGGAAAGCAGGGGAUCGCAAGACCUUGCGCUGAUUGAGCGGCCGAUAUCAGAUUAGCUAGUUGGUGAGGUGAAGGCUCACCAAGGCGACGAUCUGUAGCGGGUCUGAGAGGAUGAUCCGCCACACUGGAACUGAGACACGGUCCAGACUCCUACGGGAGGCAGCAGUGGGGAAUUUUGGACAAUGGGCGCAAGCCUGAUCCAGCCAUGCCGCGUGAGUGAAGAAGGGCCUUCGGUUGUAAG
rnacentral:rRNA from 1 species